rnacentral:lncRNA from 1 species
UUACCCCUACCCGAAAGGGCAGAGAGGCUGUUUCCAAUCAACCCUCGGCGCAUAGGAUAAAAGGAAAAACAGCAGUAAAACAAAAACAAAGACAAAAACAAAAACAAUAGAGCAUAUAAGCAAAUAUUGCAUAGGAUAAAAGGAAAAACAGCUGUAAAACAAAAACAAAAAUAAUAGAGCAUUAGUAACUCCCGCAAAAAUA